rnacentral:lncRNA from 1 species
AAUUUUUAUAAAGAGAAUAGAUUUAUUUCUAACGUGUAUCCGAAAAUGUCAAAUAUACUUUAAAAAUGCAAAAAGGACAUUUCCGGGUUGUGAAAUAUAGAUUACUCGUUUUAAAAUUCAGUACGAAUGAAUAAUGUCUAUCAUCAGAAGAUUGAUUAAUAGGAAACAAAUCUCCUUUAACUUAUCAAGUAUUUAUCAUAGGUAAUUGCCAUUCUACUAUUGCUCAGAAUCUGUCUCCUACGUAGCCCAUACUUGUGAUCAACUUGAUUCCCUAUGGUGUCAUAGAUCACGCUUCCCUGUUUGUCCGACUCAUCCAUUACUCAUAGGGGAUUGAGCCAGUUUUUGAUCUAAGGAAACCGAGUGGAUAAUCAACGAGAGAUUUAACGUGCUCAUGAGGGUGAGAAAAAAUCAAUACCGAAGCAAGCCAUUUUCUGGCUUUGUUUGCAGCUGCACGAUACUCUCCACUCUUAGCAAACAGAAGAAACUCGUCGCUAUUUUAACUAUUAUUUGUUUAAAGUCAGUUGUUACUUAUGAAGUUCUGACUUUAUCUUCAGUUUUUCAUCCGACCUUGACCUCUCUAACUCUGCAAGGUUAGCAGGAAGGUGUAACACCUGUCUUUUGAUGGGUAUCCAAACACCUGUCUGCCAUGCCGAUUUUCAUAAUUUUUAAUAUUUUUACAAGUUUAAAAAUAUGUUUGAGCGAUUUACACUUAAAAGUAUGUAAAAAAUCAUAAACAAUCGCUUGCGUCCAAGACAAAAUAAUAAGCUAAUCUAAGAUUUAAUUGUCAGCUAAUUUCGAUUUUAUAUUUAAAUUAACCUAUAUAUAUCGGC